rnacentral:rRNA from 1 species
UACGUAGGGUGCGAGCGUUGUCCGGAAUUAUUGGGCGUAAAGAGCUCGUAGGCGGUCUGUCGCGUCGGUCGUGAAAACUUGGGGCUUAACCCUGGGCUGGCUUUCGAUACGGGCAGACUGGAGGUAUGCAGGGGAGAACGGAAUUCCUGGUGUAGCGGUGAAAUGUGUAGAGAUCGGGAGGAACACCGGUGGCGAAGGCGGUCUUCUGGACGGUGACUGACGCUGAGGCGCGAAAGCGUGGGGAGCAAACGGG